UCUAAUCAUUAUCCGAACUUGUCCUGCCCGAAUACGUGGUUGAUCAGAAAAAAAUGGUAUCCGUUUGUGGAAAACAUUUGUUUAUGUCUUGCUAAUAAAUAAAUACUAAAGACAAUAUAGCACAUUACAUUUAUGUUUAACCCGCUUCUCGUAAGAAACAGAAAAAUGCGUACGAACGCCAACUUUUGGUUCGAGAAUUGACCGCUACUGUAUUCAAGGGAAUUAACUCGACAUUGAAUCUGAAACUGAAAGUAGACUGCUAUUGUUUUUCUCUCUGAUCGUUUUCCAACGCUUUUCAGCGAUGUAGGUGCCAAAACUGGAAACGAAAGAUGGUAAAGUCAAGGUACUCUAUAGCCUAGUGGAUGUAAUCGGUGGCUGUCACCCGAUAGGCCGGAGUUCAAAACCAGGAUGCCUCAAAAGAUAUGUGUGCUGUGCAGAAAAAAGCUAAAACUGCAUCAAAGAAGACCUGUCAACAAAAAUAUAGCUAAAUAUUUACGGAAAUUCUAUUUGAUGCAAACAACCAAUUUGGAUUUUAUUUGUGGAGGUUGCAGCAAAAAAGUGUAUCCAGUUUCUAGUGCACAGCCAAAGUCAUCUGUUUCAGACACAUCAAGAAAAUCUACUGAAAAUCAGACAGCAACAGCAACAACAUCUACAGCCUGUAAAAGUCCACCAUCCAUUCAGCUUCCCAUUAAAUCUACAUCCAAAAGCCAUUCCUACUGUUUUAUUUGUAAAAAGCCAGGUCCCAAAAUCAUAGUUGUACCAGCAAAUAUAAGAUAUUCAGUAUUCAUUGAACAUGGAAUUAUUAUCACAGCUGAAAGCAGAUGUUGUACUUCUCAUUUCAAUCACAACUUAAACGAAUUUAAUAAAGAAGAACUAGUGAACAUGAAAACAAAAGAACAAUCAUUUUUGAACAGAACUACUAUUACUGAAUUCAUCAAUAAAACAAGAGAAAUUGCCUUAAAAUCUUCAAACAAGAGAAUGUCAUUUGACAGUAUGCAUACCUAUACAGAUGAAGA